AACGCGAAGAACCUUACCUGGUCUUAACAUCCACGGAAGUUUUCAGAGAUGAGAAUGUGCCUUCGGGAACCGUGAGACAGGUGCUGCAUGGCUGUCGUCAGCUCGUGUUGUGAAAUGUUGGGUUAAGUCCCGCAACGAGCGCAACCCUUAUCCUUUGUUGCCAGCGGUCCGGCCGGGAACUCAAAGGAGACUGCCAGUGAUAAACUGGAGGAAGGUGGGGAUGACGUCAAGUCAUCAUGGCCCUUACGACCAGGGCUACACACGUGCUACAAUGGCGCAUACAAAGAGAAGCGACCUCGCGAGAGCAAGCGGACCUCAUAAAGUGCGUCGUAGUCCGGAUUGGAGUCUGCAACUCGACUCCAUGAAGUCGGAAUCGCUAGUAAUCGUGGAUCAGAAUGCCACGGUGAAUACGUUCCCGGGCCUUGUACACACCG
rnacentral:rRNA from 1 species